UAGCAUAUCAAUAAGCGGAGGAAAAGAAACCAACAGGGAUUGCCUUAGUAACUGCGAGUGAAGCGGCAAGAGCUCAAAUUUGUAAUCUGGCGUCUCCGGCGCCCGAGUUGUAAUUUGGAGAGGCACCUUCGGGGGGAGCGCCGGCCUAAGUUCCUUGGAACAGGACGUCACAGAGGGUGAGAAUCCCGUGUUCGGCCGGCUGCCUUCUUCCAUGUGAAGCGCCUUCGACGAGUCGAGUUGUUUGGGAAUGCAGCUCUAAAUGGGUGGUAAACUCCAUCUAAAGCUAAAUAUUGGCGGGAGACCGAUAGCGCACAAGUAGAGUGAUCGAAAGAUGAAAAGCACUUUGAAAAGAGAGUUAAAAAGUACGUGAAAUUGUUGAAAGGGAAGCGCUUGAGACCAGACUCGGCCGGAGGCCAUCAGGCCCGGUUCUCCGGGCUGCACUUGCCUCUGGUCGGGCCAGCAUCGGUUGCGACGGCGGGAUAAAGGUCCGGGGAAUGUGGCUCCUCUCGGGGAGUGUUAUAGCCCCGGGCGCCAUGCCGCCUGUCGCGACCGAGGACCGCGCUUCGGCUAGGAUGCUGGCGUAAUGGUCUUCAGCGACCCGUCUUGAAACACGGACCAAGGAGUCUAACAUCUAUGCGAGUGUUCGGGUGGAAAACCCUUGCGCGUAAUGAAAGUGAACGGAGGUGUGAAGCCGCAAGGCCGCAACAUCGACCGAUCCUGAUGUCUUCGGAUGGAUUUGAGUAGGAGCAUAGCUGUUGGGACCCGAAAGAUGGUGAACUAUGCCUGAAUAGGGUGAAGCCAGAGGAAACUCUGGUGGAGGCUCGCAGCGGUUCUGACGUGCAAAUCGAUCGUCAAAUUUGGGUAUAGGGGCGAAAGACUAAUCGAACCAUCUAGUAGCUGGUUCCUGCCGAGUCCC
rnacentral:rRNA from 1 species